AUGAACGCUAGCUACAGGCUUAACACAUGCAAGUCGAGGGGCAGCAUGAACUUAGCUUGCUAAGUUUGAUGGCGACCGGCGCACGGGUGAGUAACACGUAUCCAACCUGCCGAUGACUCGGGGAUAGCCUUUCGAAAGAAAGAUUAAUACCCGAUGGCAUAGUUCUUUCGCAUGGUGGAACUAUUAAAGAAUUUCGGUCAUCGAUGGGGAUGCGUUCCAUUAGGUUGUUGGCGGGGUAACGGCCCACCAAGCCUUCGAUGGAUAGGGGUUCUGAGAGGAAGGUCCCCCACAUUGGAACUGAGACACGGUCCAAACUCCUACGGGAGGCAGCAGUGAGGAAUAUUGGUCAAUGGACGAGAGUCUGAACCAGCCAAGUAGCGUGAAGGAUGACUGCCCUAUGGGUUGUAAACUUCUUUUAUACGGGAAUAAAGUGAGGCACGUGUGCCUUUUUGUAUGUACCGUAUGAAUAAGGAUCGGCUAACUCCGUGCCAGCAGCCGCGGUAAUACGGAGGAUUCGAGCGUUAUCCGGAUUUAUUGGGUUUAAAGGGAGCGUAGGCGGACGCUUAAGUCAGUUGUGAAAGUUUGCGGCUCAACCGUAAAAUUGCAGUUGAUACUGGGUGUCUUGAGUACAGUAGAGGCAGGCGGAAUUCGUGGUGUAGCGGUGAAAUGCUUAGAUAUCACGAAGAACUCCGAUUGCGAAGGCAGCUUGCUGGACUGUAACUGACGCUGAUGCUCGAAAGUGUGGGUAUCAAACAGGAUUAGAUACCCUGGUAGUCCACACAGUAAACGAUGAAUACUCGCUGUUUGCGAUAUACAGUAAGCGGCCAAGCGAAAGCGUUAAGUAUUCCACCUGGGGAGUACGCCGGCAACGGUGAAACUCAAAGGAAUUGACGGGGGCCCGCACAAGCGGAGGAACAUGUGGUUUAAUUCGAAGCAACGCGAAGAACCUUACCAGGGCUUGACAUAAACAGGAAUAAGUAAGAGAUUACUUAGCUCUUCGGAGUCUGUUUACAGGUGGUGCAUGGUUGUCGUCAGCUCGUGUCGUGAGAUGUUGGGUUAAGUCCCGCAACGAGCGCAACCCCUGCUUUUAGUUGCCAGCACGUAAUGGUGGGAACUCUAGAAGGACUGCCGGUGAUAAAUCGGAGGAAGGUGGGGACGACGUCAAAUCAUCAUGCCCUUUAUGUCCUGGGCUACACACGUACUACAAUGGCCGCAACAGAGGGAAGCGAAAUAGUGAUAUGGAGCAAAACCCCAAAAACGGUCUCAGUUCGGAUUGAAGGCUGAAAUUCGCCUUCAUGAAGCUGGAAUUGCUAGUAAUGGCAGGUCAGCAUACUGCCGUGAAUACGUUCCCGGGCCUUGUACACACCGCCCGUCACACCAUGAGAGUUGGGAAUACCCGAAGCCUGUGAGCUAACUUUUAGAGGCAGCAGUCGAAGGUAGAAUCAAUGAUUGGGGUG
rnacentral:rRNA from 1 species